rnacentral:rRNA from 1 species
GACGAACGCUGGCGGCGUGCCUAAUACAUGCAAGUCGAGCGGACAGAAGGGAGCUUGCUCCCGGAAGUUAGCGGCGGACGGGUGAGUAACACGUAGGUAACCUGCCCCUUAGACUGGGAUAACUCCGGGAAACCGGAGCUAAUACGGGAUAAUAAAGAGAAUCGCCUGAUUUUCUUUUGAAAGACGGUUUCGGCUGUCACUAAGGGAUGGACCUGCGGCGCAUUAGCUAGUUGGUAAGGUAACGGCUUACCAAGGCGACGAUGCGUAGCCGACCUGAGAGGGUGAUCGGCCACACUGGGACUGAGACACGGCCCAGACUCCUACGGGAGGCAGCAGUAGGGAAUCUUCCGCAAUGGACGAAAGUCUGACGGAGCAACGCCGCGUGAGUGAGGAAGGCCUUCGGGUCGUAAAGCUCUGUUGUGAGGGAAGAGCACGUACGAGAGGGAAUGCUCGUACCUUGACGGUACCUUACGAGAAAGCCACGGCUAACUACGUGCCAGCCGCCGCAGUAA